GGGGGUGUGGCUCAGUUGGUAGAGCGUUCGCUUAGCAGCUUAUAAACUGAGUUCGAUUCUUAGCUCUUCCA